rnacentral:rRNA from 1 species
GACGAACGCUGGCGGCGUGCCUAACACAUGCAAGUCGAACGGAAAGGCCCUGCUCUUGUGGCGUGCUCAUGUGGCGAAAGGGUGAGUAUCACGUGAGUAACCUGCCCUUGUCUUUGGGAUAACUUCUGGAAACUCGGGCUAAUACCCGGUAGGAGCUCCUGCUGCACGGUGGGGGAUGGUAAGUUUCGGCGUUUCGGGAUGGACGCGCGGCUUAUCAGCUUGUUGGUGGGGUAGUGGCUUACCAAGGCUUGGACGGGUAGCCGGCCUGAGAGGGUGACAGGCCACAAUGGGCCUGAGGAAGGGCCCAGACGCCAACGGGAGGCAGCAGUGGAAAAUAUUGCAAAAUGGGCCGAAGCCUGAUACAACAGUGCCGGGUGCGGGAACACGGCCUGCGGGGUAUAAACCGCUUUCGACUGGAACGAAGAGUGAGUGACGGUAACGGGUAAGAAAGCAACGGCUAACUACGUG